ACGUUAGCAGCAGCCUGAGGGGCAAAACACAAAGAUCUUAGUGGACUUUAAAUUGUGACUAUCAAACCUUGGAAAUAAGCAGACGGCUCGAGAAAAAGCAACCGCAGAAUCACUGAGAAUAACAGCAUGAACAAAAGUAACUGCAAUGUAGCUGGCAACAGUGAGAGCAGCACAGAAGAGGUCUCUGAGGCAAAUGACACAGAUCCAGCAGCACUAUUGGGCAUGGAACCUUAUCUUGUUCGAAGACUUUCCUUUCGGGCUCUACAGCUUCCACCAUUAGCCUUCAGACUGGCUGAACAAUUUGACUGGGAAAAAAACUCAGACACAGAGCACAUACCAAGGCCAACUACGCUUGCUCUGAAAGCUCCCCCUCUAAUUGCCAUCA